UUUUUUCCAAACAGAAUUUUCCUCGCCUUGACUCCGACUCUUCCAAUUCACCGUCACCGUUUCUAAUCUCUGCAAGUCGCCUUCCUCUGUAACUAUUACAACCCACUCUUGCUCAUUCGAUUCCGAACUUUACUCAUAUAUUUAUUAGAGAUGUUAUCCUUUGUUUCUCUUCUUGGAAAGCUGGAUCUUCUCUUGCUAAUAUAUCUCACCGCAGAACCCUAUAUAUACCUUCUUCAGCUUAUAUGUUCUUCACCUGAUUCGCCAACUACAUGGCUCCCAUGCAACCAAGCAAGAUCUCGAUGCUUGCAAUCAACAGUUUCAAGGUAAAACAAGGCUGAAGUAGGAGAUAAAGUUGUUGAUUUGCGCAACAGGGCUGAGGAGGUCUCCAACUUCAUAGAGUUUCAAGAGAGAGAGAGAGAGAGAGAGAGAUGAAAUAAUUUUUGGAGGGGGAGAAUCCGAUAGAAAGCAGGAGAAGAUGGUAGAGAUGAAAACAAGAUAUUACACAGAGAUGCUUGAUUUGGAGAGUGAAUUCGAUGUCUUCAGAGCUGUUAAUGAACAAGAACGACCUUCACAAUGAAGAUGACGCAGACUGCUACCUUACAUGUGCACCUUAAAUCAGUAAUUGCUUGUGUUGGUGAGACUCUUGAGCAGCGAGAGGCUGGGUCAACCAUGGAUUCUGUCGCUGCCCAGAAUAAAGCUAUUGCUGGGUCUAUUAUGAAGACUGUUUUUGGAUGAGACAGGCGAAGCUGUAUUUGUUGGUCUCGAUGGUGAGAUGACAAAACUAACAUUCGAGCCUCUGAGGCUUGUCCUCUACUGGCUGAAGAUGGAGAGAACCCAAAAGAUAGUCGGCUCCCUCAGUUUACACAUUCCAGGUCAAAGUUUUCGACUACAAUUUUGGUGCUAAACAUUAAACAUUCACUGUCUCACACAUCCUGGAAAAGGGUGAACGUCUUGCCCACCCUGACUUUGUUGUGAUGAGGGCAACCAUGGCCGUGAAGAUGAUAUGCCUUAGAUGAAACAAGUUCAAUUUGGCUUAUCACCAAAAACUCUCAGGGCACAUCAUCUUCCAAGUUCACCAAGAAGGCACACAUCGCUUAGGCUAAGAGGAUGCAAUAUGUGGCCACAUUAGCAUCGCUUACGCAUCAUCAUUGGACUUUUUAUCUACUCUGCUAUGUUUUCUUCAGUUUAAGUUAACUCAUGGUUAUAUUACUCCCCAGUCAUUCAUUCAAUCACUGAGUUUCAUAUAUGUAUAAUGUAUAUACAGCCCCUCAAUUCAUUCAAAAUAUUAAAAAACUGAAAAAAUUAAAAACUAAAAGUAACACGUGUGAUGUAAGGAACUGCAUAUAAUAGGGUUGACCAUAUUUCUUCUUUUUUAAAUAUAAGACUACUACAAGACGAAAUAAUAAAAUAAAUAUAAGAUUACGAGGUGUUUGCUUCUCCAAGUGCAAUUCUCUCGAUACAAAUUAAAUUAUUCUUUAGUAUGUUGAGAUCAUUACACACAAUUUAAAAUUAAAAAAAUGAUUAUCUUUAGUCAGCAUUGUAAUUGCAUUUUAAAACAUUAGAGCUUCCAUAUCUUCCAAACAAAAUGAAAAUUAACAUAAAACUAAACUUAAACUUAAAUCUUGAUAUUUAGAAUUUUUUCAGUAAUCAACCAGAUUGCUACUCUUAUGUUUCAUACUCUCGAUUGAAAAUAUUGGUCUUAUAGGCUGAAGAUGGAGAGAACCCAAAAGAUAGUCGGCUCCCUCAGUUUACACAUUCCAGGUAUAAGUUUUCGACUACAAUUUCGGUGCUAAACAUUAAACAUUCACUGUUUCACACAUCCUGGAAAAGGGUGAACGUCUUGCCCACCCUGACUUUGUUGUGAUGAGGGCAACCAUGGCCGUGAAGAUGAUAUGCAUUAGAUGAAACAAGUUCAAUUUGGCCUAUCACCAAAAAACUCUCAGGGCACAUCAUCUUCCAAGUUCACCAAGAAGGCAUGCAUCGCUUAGGCUAAGAGGAUGCAAUAUGUGGCCACAUUAGCAUCGCUUACGCAUCAUCAUUGGACUUUUUAUCUACUCUGCUAUGUUUUCUUCAGUUUAAGUUAACUCAUGGUUAUAUUACUCCCCAGUCAUUCAUUCAAUCACUGAGUU